AGAAAGUGAUGUUUGGUUUCCUAUUUCUGUCGGUAAACAUCUGAAAAACCUUUGUAUUUCUUCUUCGAUGUUCGAUACGAUUUCAUCUUUCAUAUUACUCUUUAAUCUGUUCAAGAAAAGCUUAGGAGUAGUUUUAGAAUCUGCGAUUAUAUGAGUUAGACACCAAGUUUCCUUCUUUUUCCUCUGAAGAAUACAAAAUGAGACGACUUCUAUCUUCUUUCUCCGGAGAAUAAAAAGACGAUAUCUUGCUUCUUGUUUCGUGCAUGUCUAUGAUCGAUUCUCCCCUCUUCCCUAAUUUCGAUUGAAAUAGUUUAUGCAAGGUUUUGGUCGGAGUUUACAUGGAUGAUGACUUCAGGAUAAUAGUAUCAAGUAGACGUCGUGAUAUGAAGCUAAUUAGAGAAUGAAAUGUAUCAGGAUUGAUAUGCAUUGGAGAUUGAGUUGGCUUCUAAGUAUAAAAGAAGAUCUGAAGCAAUCAAAAUAGUGACUUGCGUUUUCCAAAUUCAUAAAAUGGAAUCAAGACUCUUGUUCUACAAAGAAAUGGUGUUUCAUGCUUCUAUGAAGAUAAGUUUACUCGAAUAUCUCUGCCUUGUUGUACUUUAAGAUAGAUUUUUAUUUCAAAACAAACUAUAAAAAUUGGCAUAUUCAUCUAGCAAAUAGAAAAAACAAUUUACUUGGGAUUAGGAUUCUUUAGUAAUAGAUAUAUUAAGUAAUAGAAUGAUCAUAACCUCUUAGACACAUUGGUUAAUAAGACAUAUAGUAUUGUUCUUUUGAAUCGUGAGUAGGUUUCUGUUAUUUGUUUUGUUUAGCUUGGUAAUCGUGAUUAAAAAAAACACUGCUAGCCAU